rnacentral:lncRNA from 1 species
CAGACUAUUUCUCUCUAUAUAUAGUUCGGCUGUUAUACUAUCUAUAGUACCAAUCGUUUUGUGCUAUAGAGUUUUCUACCGUUAGAUCUACCUAUAUAUAAAGAGUCCGGCUACUAUACUAUCGAUAGUACCAAGUGUUUGGUGCUAUCGAGUUUUCUGCCGUUAGAUCUAUCCUUUUGGCUAUUUUCAUCCGUUAGAUCAUGCUAUUCAACUUGCCACCUCCUCAACCCUACGGGGCUACUAUCAUCCUGACCGCACAUCCCUUCAUUCAAGGGCCGAAACCUAAUAGCAAGCAGUUGAUACUAUUAAUAGUAUAGUAGCCUAAUUCUAUAUAUAUAGGCUAGGGUUGCUAUACUCUUACGAGUAUAAACCCAUUUAUACUCAUAAAUUUUCGACCGUUGGAUGUACAAUUAGGAUGAUAGUGGUCCCUAAAGCUGUCCAAAAUAUCCGAUAUACCAUACUUGAUCUGGACCCUACUCGGACCCUCUUAGGACCCGAUAAAAAAUGGAUAUUAUAUGUGUAAAAAAAAUUACCCAUUAAAGUUUCGGGUAUGGAUCCGGAUAUUUUAUAUCCAUACCCGAUUUGGACACGAUCCGAACCCAACUUUUAAAUGAGUAGAGUUUGGAAUAGUUUUCAAAUCCAGACCCGGAUCCGGACCCGAUGAAAUAUCCGACAAUAAAUAAAAAAGAUUUGAACUUUUAAAGUUGAGGGAUCAAUUUUAAUAAAACUUAUAGAUGAGGGGUCUCUAAAUAUUUUCAUCCUGGUGAAACACUAAAACCCAAGCCAUUCUUUUACUCCUUUCUUUUCUCUAAUUUUUUUAUCUGUAUUUUUUAUUCUUUAUUUGUUUUGUUUCAUUUCUGCCUAAUAGUUUUUUAUGAAACAAUAUUUCCAUCGUCAUUAUCAUCAACGAUAUUAAUCCUUUACAGAUGUGGCACGAGUGAGUAUUUUCCAAAUCUCUUCUUCAAUCAUAUUCGACAAUCUAGUUUUUUUUCAUGAAUAUUUUAUUUAGUAAAUUUUCUGAUUCCUUUUUUUGGAUGUUAAUAUAUAAUAUUAGUAAUUACUACAACUUAUAUUCUCUUUAUAGGAGGAGAUUUAUAGUUUGCCCACAGACUAUUUAAUAAAAUCUAUAAAAAAAAAUAUAUGUAUACGGGUAUCCGUACCCGAUUUAGACCCAACCCGUACCCGGUCUUGAACGGGUAGUAUAUGGGUAGUCACUACCCAGACCCACUCAAACAGACCCGAUGGAUAUAUUAAUAACUUAAGUAUUCAGACCCGGACCCGACCCGAAGUUAAAUGGGUAGGGUAUAUAUAUUUUUUUCUAACCAUUUCUUUUUAGGGUACGGGUACAGUAUAUCAACUACUCAGACCUGACCCGACCCAUGGACACCUUUAGUGGUCCCCUAGGAUUGAAUGGGUGGUUAGUUGAAUAGUAUGAUUUACGGAUAGAAAAUGGUCAAAGUAUAGAUCUAACAAUCGAAAACUUAUGAGUAUAAAGGGGUCUAUACUAAUAACAGUAUAGUAACCGAAUUCUCUCUAUAUAUAAUUAUAUGAAAUAUAUAUUUUAAUUAUAUAAAAUAAUAUAUAUUAUGUAUUUUAAUUAUAUGUAUAUAAAAUUUAGAUUCUUGGGCGGACAAAACUAAACCAGCAAAAUCCUACUCUAAUUGCUCAUUCUCUCUCUCUUUUUCACUCGCUCACAAAGUCGCUUUUCCUAAUUUUUUUUUAAUAUUAUAAUAUCGUAUUUCAUGCAUUUAUUUUGUAUAUUGGACUAUUAGGUAUUGUAUCGAAUUUUAGAUAAUGUUUUAUAAAAAAAUUUAAAUGUAGAUCGCAUGAUGUUAAGAAUUUCAAGCAGCUCGUUUAGGGCUCGUGCUCGCUCGACUCGAAGUUAGG